rnacentral:rRNA from 1 species
CCUACGGGAGGCAGCAGUAGGGAAUUUUCCACAAUGGGCGAAAGCCUGAUGGAGCAACGCCGCGUGGGUGAAGAAGGUCUUCGGAUCGUAAAACCCUGUUGUUAGAGAAGAAAGUGCGUGAGAGUAACUGUUCACGUUUCGACGGUAUCUAACCAGAAAGCAACGGCUAACUACGUGCCAGCAGCCGCGGUAAUACGUAGGUGGCAAGCGUUAUCCGGAUUUAUUGGGCGUAAAGGGAACGCAGGCGGUCUUUUAAGUCUGAUGUGAAAGCCUUCGGCUUAACCGGAGUAGUGCAUUGGAAACUGGGAGACGUGAGUGCAGAAGAGGAGAGUGGAACUCCAUGGGUAGCGGUGAAAUGCGUAGAUAUAUGGAAGAACACCAGUGGCGAAAGCGGCUCUCUGGUCUGUAACUGACGCUGAGGUUCGAAAGCGUGGGUAGCAAACAGGAUUAGAUACCCUUGUAGUC